rnacentral:rRNA from 1 species
GAUGAACGCUAGCUACAGGCUUAACACAUGCAAGUCGAGGGGCAGCGGUAUCGAAAGCUUGCUUUCGGUAGCCGGCGACCGGCGCACGGGUGAGUAACGCGUAUCGAACCUGCCUCAUACUCGGGAAUAGCCUUGCGAAAGUAAGAUUAAUGCCCGGUGUUUUCAGAGUCCCGCAUGAGGCUUUGAACAAAGAUUUAUCGGUAUGAGAUGGCGAUGCGUCCCAUUAGCUUGUUGGCGGGGUAACGGCCCACCAAGGCAUCGAUGGGUAGGGGUUCUGAGAGGAAGGUCCCCCACAUUGGAACUGAGACACGGUCCAAACUCCUACGGGAGGCAGCAGUGAGGAAGAUUGGUCAAUGGGCGGAAGCCUGAACCAGCCAAGUAGCGUGCAGGAAGACGGCCCUCCGGGUGGUAAACUGCUUUUAGUUGGGAAUAAAACGGGGCUCGUGAGCCCCCUUGCAUGUACCAUCAGAAAAAGGACCGGCUAAUUCCGUG